ACGAACGCUGGCGGCGUGCUUAACACAUGCAAGUCGAACGGUGAAGCCUAGCUUGCUAGGUGGAUUAGUGGCGAACGGGUGAGUAAUACGUGAGUAACCUACCUUUAACUCUGGGAUAAGCCUGGGAAACUGGGUCUAAUACCGGAUACGACCAAUCUCCGCAUGGGGUGUUGGUGGAAAGCGUUAUGUAGUGGUUAUAGAUGGGCUCACGGCCUAUCAGCUUGUUGGUGAGGUAACGGCUCACCAAGGCGACGACGGGUAGCCGGCCUGAGAGGGUGACCGGCCACACUGGGACUGAGACACGGCCCAGACUCCUACGGGAGGCAGCAGUGGGGAAUAUUGCACAAUGGGCGCAAGCCUGAUGCAGCGACGCCGCGUGAGGGAUGACGGCCUUCGGGUUGUAAGCCUCUGUUAGCAGGGAAGAAGAGAGAUUGACGGUACCUGCAGAGAAAGCGCCGGCUAACUACGUG
rnacentral:rRNA from 1 species